UGGGGAAUAUUGCACAAUGGGCGGAAGCCUGAUGCAGCGACGCCGCGUGGGGGAUGAAGGCCUUCGGGUUGUAAACUCCUUUCGACAGGGACGAAGCUUUUGUGACGGUACCUGUAUAAGAAGCACCGGCUAACUACUUGCCAGCAGCCGCGGUAAUACGUAGGGUGCGAGCGUUGUCCGGAAUUACUGGGCGUAAAGAGCUCGUAGGUGGUUUGUCGCGUCGUCUGUGAAAUUCCGGGGCUUAACUCCGGGCGUGCAGGCGAUACGGGCUGACUUGAGUGCUGUAGGGGAGACUGGAAUUCAUGGUGUAGCGGUGAAAUGCGCAGAUAUAAGGAGGAACACCGAUGGCGAAGGCAGGUCUCUGGGCAGUAACUGACGCUGAGGAGCGAAAGCAUGGGUAGCGAACAGG
rnacentral:rRNA from 1 species